UGCCCAGCAACUCCUAUCCCUACCUCCACGCGGUACCGGCCGGAAACUAUGAGCAACCUUAGGGAAGAUCGGGUAACCAACCCCGGUGGGAACUUUGGUCAUAGGCUGACAGGGAAGG
rfam:Aedes albopictus isolate Foshan contig5772, whole genome shotgun sequence.